UACGAAGGGGGCUAGCGUUUCUCGGAAGUCACUGGGCGUAAAGGGCGCGUAGGCGGCGUUUUUAAGUCGGGGGUGAAAGCCUGUGGCUCAACCACAGAAUGGCCUUCGAUACUGGGACGCUUGAGUAUGGUAGAGGUUGGUGGAACUGCGAGUGUAGAGGUGAAAUUCGUAGAUAUUCGCAAGAACACCGGUGGCGAAGGCGGCCAACUGGACCAUUACUGACGCUGAGGCGCGAAAGCGUGGGGAGCAAACAGG
rnacentral:rRNA from 1 species